ACCGGGAGACCAGCGCCGGCAUGGCGGUACUUGUGGUGCUCGUCGUCGGUGUCGGCUGCUGAGGGUUACGAACUCCAUCGCAACCUGCAGCACUGUGAAGAAUUUAAGAAAACAAACGAACACAUUCCAUUCGACUUCUUUUGGUGUAUGUCCUCCUGGUAGCGGAGAUUCAAGUGAGGCCAUCUUUGUCGAAAUGAUUGUCGACGCCAUUUUGUUUGUUGAAUCGGUGCCAUGAAGAAUAAUUUGAGAAGUGAAGUGUUGUUGAAACUCUGAGCACAGUGGUUUCGACAUUUUUAUUCCUUUUGUUGCAUUGCAAUGUUUCUGCAAUCGAUUGAUCACAGUAGAAAUUCAAAGCGCUCCGUGAACGAUCAAGCUUUCUUUAAAUAAUUACGUUUUUGUCCAUGUUUGAAUUUUUUAUCAGUCGAAUAGCAUCUGUAACCCAUAGCUUCUAAAAUAGGAAAUUGGAAAUGAGUUCGUUUUUUUAAAACUGUCGUCGGAAUGGCGAAAUCAAAAAAAUAAAUAACAUAGACAAAAUGUCAUAGAUCAGUGUUUAGAGAGAUGACAUCGUAAGUUACAUUUUUAUAAAAAAAUUCCAAAACCACUCACUCACCGCGGGGCACGCCAAGGGAAAGGGACUGUUCCUUACAAAAAGCAAAGCCCUUUCGAUUUCCUUGCUAGCUAUGUUCUCCUGGUACACAAAGUCAUUGGGAGUGACAUGUCCAUUAUUCCUCAACCUUUUUUUAUUUUUAACACUUCCAAAUUAACUCCACUUUAAUACGUGCCUAUUUAUUAUCAGAUAAUUAUUGCUAAGUAAACAGAACAUAGCUGAUGAAUUAUUUCUAUUGUUACCAGUUACUAGCCAUUUUAUUGGUAGUGUGAAAAGUAACUUACCACACCAUACCACAAUACUUUUUACAAUCACUUUCAUUUUUGUUUAUUGUAAAAAAAAAUCAUUAUUAGUACAACAUUAGGAGCCCUUUAAAUUAUUUAUAAUAAAAUACUCCGUACCAGGGGAACAGAAAGUGUGUGGAGAUAAUAAGGGCCGAGAGAAGGGCCCGUCACAAAUUCAAGGUUUGCUUACGCAAUGGGCGUGGUUUCUUCGUCCAAUCGCGAGAGAGCGUCUUACGCAAGAAGCUACGCACUCGGGGCGCGGGCCCUUCUGCUUAUAGUCUACAGAUAUUGUGCGUGCUGUUCGCUUCUUUACACGCGAAUACUAUCGCUGUAGGUAUUUACUAAUACUUUGGACCUUUGCUUUAGUACUUACAGCCUAUUUAAUUUUUUUUAAACAUAUAUAUAGGUUGAUUAAACAAUUUUAACAAAAUCAACGGAUUUUGACGGACAUUUAAAACGUUAAUAUAUUCUCUAUUUAAGAUUCCAUGUUCCCAGAAAAUAAAUAAAAUAGCUCUCUGUUCGAUGGACUACCAAAAACAAUGCCGAAAAGAUAAACUAUAAAGCUUCUAUUGGAAAAUGAAUCCGUCGCAUACAGAAUGAGAUCAUUGCCAAACAUAGACAUUUUAUACACCUGAAAAUGUUGCUCUUCCCUUUUAGUCCUAGUCAGGGCAAAGUUCCUACGCGAUAAUAACUUAACGAGACGUCGCUCUAUCAGUUAUGCCGUCCUGGUACAGACGUCGGUUACGUUACCGGAACGUGGUAUGACAUAAUUUUCUUCAUUGCGUUCAUUGUUCCUUUGCAGUUGUUUUCUUUCGUCUUUAUCUUUUGUAUUAUCUGAUCAAUACAAACGCUUCUACUUACACAAAAGUAUAAUUUUUACAUCUAUUAUAACGUUUAUUUGCAUUAAGACGUUGUUUAUAACAAAUAAUUGGCAUAUAAACGCUUAUCGAUGAAUUAGGGAGGGACUGCGUAGGGUGGGUAGGGCAGGGCCGUAUUGGAAAUGUAUCGGCGAUUGCUGAUAAUGUCGAACCGUUCGGAAAAUACCAAGGCAACAUAGAUGCGAGAUGGUGCCGUGAACAGAAAUCGAUGAGAGAGAACCCACGAAUUCGAUUAGGUAUAGAUAUAAUGUUAUGUAUAGUCAGGGGAGCGAUAGCGCUCACUGGAUGUUACCGCCCACGUUUAUUAUUUCGCAAUUCGCAAAUUAACGAUGGUCAGAAGUAUACACACACUAUAAAUGGAAAACGAUAUGUAUACCUUUUACAUAUUUAUUUUCUUGUUAUUUUUAACUUUGGUACUUAUAAUAAAAAAAAAUAUUAAUACGUGCAAGACGUGUAGAAUAAAUAUUUGACAAUUGAUAAACGAUCUAUCACUUCAAAUAAGAUCUCCUCCCCCGAGUCGAAAAAUUAUAAUGAUAUGCGUAAUUAGAUGGAAGAAGUAUUAGGAUAACAUACUCGGCAAGAGGAAACAUAAGGGCAGACCCUUGAGAGGGGAGGUUAUUCUGGGCGGUUAUCUUAUUUUAUUAUCACCACACGCUGGGCAGGGAUAUGCGCUGCCCGACUGCGCGUUGUUCUCAUCCUGAAAGUUUACAGUCUGGCGUGAUCAGGACUUCAUAAUUGUGUAGUGGUUAACUCGCUGCAUCAUUCAUUCUUCCCUGAAGUAGGCGGGGAAUGUGGUUGGUGUGGGUGGUUACUAUGGCGACAUCGUUGCCCACUGAUACCAGAGCAUAAUAAACAAGAAGAUAUAAUUUUAGACCAAGUCGUCAUAAACCCUUUGUACUCUUAGUCCUACUAAAUUAGACUAUGAUUUGUCCGACCGCGACGUCGUCAUUGUCUUGAAUAAAAUUCAUUCAAUCGAAAAAUGCACUAUUUCAUACUGAAUUUUUUAUUGCAACUAUACAGAUACUUUUCAGCUAUUCUGGAGUAAUGAAAUCGUAACAAUGCCAGAGUUGGAUUUUUUAGGAGUUCCAUGUUUUUCAGCUCUGGUACUGUUAAGCAAAAUUAAUAUUUCAAUAUAUUUUAUGAACAAACGACGUUGGACUAAUAGGACUAAAUGCCCCAUAGAGUCCUUCUUGUUUUUCUUUCGUGUAAAUUAAUAUGAAUAAUGUACACUGAGGGACAGCUUUCUUUAUUUUGAACUUUUUAUUUCGUGAUUUUGAAUC